UGCCUCAGUAACGGCGAGUGAAGCGGCAACAGCUCAAAUUUGAAAUCUGGCCGCAAGGUCCGAGUUGUAAUUUGCAGAGGAUGCUUUUGGCGAGGUGCCUUCCGAGUUCCCUGGAACGGGACGCCAUAGAGGGUGAGAGCCCCGUACGGUAGGACCACCGAGCCUUUGUAAAGCUCCUUCGACGAGUCGAGUAGUUUGGGAAUGCUGCUCUAAAUGGGAGGUGUACGUCUUCUAAAGCUAAAUACCGGCCAGAGACCGAUAGCGCACAAGUAGAGUGAUCGAAAGAUGAAAAGCACUUUGAAAAGAGGGUUAAAAAGUACGUGAAAUUGUUGAAAGGGAAGCAUUCAUGACCAGACUUGGGCUUGGUUGAACAUCCGGCGUUCUCGCCGGUGCACUCUGCCAGUCCAGGCCAGCAUCAGUUUGCCCCGGGGGACAAAGGCGGUGGGAAUGUGGCUCUCUCCGGGGAGUGUUAUAGCCCGCCGUGUAAUGCCCUGGGGCGGACUGAGGAACGCGCUUCGGCUCGGAUGCUGGCGUAAUGGUCAUCAAUGACCCGUCUUGAAACACGGACCAAGGAGUCGUCUUCGUAUGCGAGUGUUCGGGUGUCAAACCCCUACGCGAAAUGAAAGUGAACGUAGGUGAGAGCUUCGGCGCAUCACCGACCGAUCCUGAUGU
rnacentral:rRNA from 1 species